GAAAACUUCAAAUACCACCUAUGUAGUUUCGUAUUUUCUCACUUUACUAUCCUGUGGUUUAAACUGUAUCAAUUUAGUAUCCUGUCGUUUCACUUUUUUUUAUUAUCCAUUUCACUAAAUUUUUUUCAUUAAAUCAGUGAUAAAAUUAAAACUAAAGGAUAUUAAAGUGAAUAUUCGAUAAACCUAGGUGGGGUAUCUGAAGUUUUUUGUAUACAAUUUAACGAAAUAUUAACGGAUGAGCUGACGAAAAGAGAAGAAUGAAACCAUAGGAUACUAACUUGAUACACUUUAAACUGCAUGGCACUAAAAUAAGAAAGUGCGAAACUGUAGAGGUGGUAUUUGAAGUUUACCCGGUAAAUUAAGAGCAUCUUUAAACCUUUUGGCACAUGUCAACACAAUUCACACUCUAUUUCUUCUAUUUCUUUAUUCUAUACACUUGAGAGAGGCCAAUAAAAGGUAUUCUUUGGAGGAGUCACUACAACAGAAUUAGAUUAUAGGAACACAUGUUUGUGACACUUUUGAGUAAGUGUCCUAUUUAUGCUAAAACUUAAAAACACAUCUACUAAUGCCUAAAUAUAAAGCCCAAUCCAACCAAAAAUAAAAGAUUACUCUACUCAACCCACCACACCCAGUCCAUUUGGCUCGAUUACAAACAGAAAAGAAAAAAAAAAAGAAAAAUUAAUUACCAUCUUUUCUUCUCUCUUCACUCAAUCCACUGAAAUUCUAGAUGAAAAGCCUUUACUGUCAUCCUCCUCCACCACCGCAGCCAACGAGAUAGAGUUUCGGCGGUUGCUAAAUGCUUAAAUAAGUGUUGGUAAAUUAGCAGCACUCUUUUAGGUUAUAGCGACACUCUUUAACUGUCACUAUAUACCUAGCGACCCCACAUAUAGCAACACUUUUUAAAAGUGUCGGCAAUUUUAGCUAGCAGCACUUUUUUGAUAUGUACCUAUAUUUAAAAGUGUCGCUAUAAAUCGUUUUUGUUGUAGUGAGUUUUGAACUCAUUUACUUAUACAGGUUUAGUGAACCUACACAACGAGGGGGGUCGAGUCAUUUGUACCAUGGAGGAGACAAGUCAGAGUUCUGUCACAUCAGUUCGAAAAUUAUCAUGUAUUGGCUUUGGGCUCCUUGUAGUAACAUGUUGGCCCUGGGAUAUUUCAAAGAUAAUAAGAGGAGUUACAAACAUGCUAUCAAAUAAAAUGGCCUAAUCCUAGUUUUUCUCACUUGGAAAGGGACCCUUCAAGGAGAAUAUGCUUCAGUGGCCAUUUUAUUGUUUACUCCCCCAACAAAUUUUUUUUUUUUUUUAAAAAAAAUGCAUUACUUAGAGAAUAUCUGUGCCAGCUCAUGGGUGUUGACUUACUGCAUUGUGUAAUUAGCUGGACUUUUUUUUUUCUUCCCAUUCUUACCUAGACAGGUGUCAGAUGUUUCCAAUUCUAUUAUUAUUAUAAAGAUUAAAUUUUGGAGGAUGCAUUGAGGGCAUGUAGAAGAAGACUCUAGUAAAAGCUAUGUAUAAUUUGACUUGGUUGCAAUUUUAACUUGGCAUGGGAUAAGAUAGAUAUGAAGAACAUCAUGGUGUUAUUAAUAGAACUGAUUUUAAUACUAAUUAAUAGUUUAAUUAAAUUUGAUACGUAGAAUUAAUCGGAAUCGAUCAGAUUCAAUAAAUCUUUUCUGUCCCUGGAGACUUGGAAGUUUUUAAUUCAAUUUUAAAGCCUAGCUAGUGAUUCUUUUCAAUCAUUAGUUGUGGUCAUACUAUUACUAGACUUUCUUUUUCUUUUUCUUUUUUUUUUCUUUUCCCAACUCUCUCUCUCUCUCUCUCUCUCUCUCUAACUUAGUUAUAAAACAUUUAAUCUAACCACAAAUACAUUGAGGCUAGUUCAUGCAAUGUUACAUGCUAACAAGUUGGACAAAGAUCGACUCAUCGCGAAGGAAUGUAGCUACAAAACCUGAUCUGAUCUGACUCAACUAUCUGAAGAAUUUAUCGAAUCGUAAUUUUAGUGAAUUUCGAAAUUUGAUCUACCACGCGACCAACAAAUUGGCUAGGAUUGGAUCUGGCUCACACAUCUUUUAUAGUAGAGGUUUGACCCAAACACAAAUCAAUGUCCCAUUCAAUGUAGGUUUAUAAUUGUGGUGUUGAAAUUGAUCAAGCUAAUAUACAUGGAACAACAAUUCCACUUAGAAUGUGACUCCACUUAGAAAGUGACAUAAAUGAAAUGUAGGAUGAUUCCCUUCAUUGAAAGGGAAUUGUGGUGUCCACAACCUCAUGUUAAUUUUGGUAGUGGAAUAAAACCACAUAACCAAUUCUCCAUGGGAGGAUAUAUUAUUCUUUGUGAAUGGUUUUCAAUUUUUUUUUAAUUUCUAGAGUUUUCUCCCCUCCUAUCAAAAAAUAUGGUUACUUCUCAUUAAUUUUGUGCAAAUUUAGUCUAUUUUUUAUGCUUAAAAAUUUUCUUUUUUAAUUUAGCUUAAAAAUUUAUUGCUAAUCGAAUCAAAUCAAACCAAACCAAACCAAACCAAACGCACCCCUAUUAGUAUUCAUUUGUUUGAGAAAUUUUCAAAUUACUAAUAAUAAUCAUGGAAUAAAAUUAUGGUAUAUUGAAUUUUUUUUUUAAUUGAUGGCUUGUGUUAAUGUAGAAAUCAACCUUUGUCUUUGUUGUAAACCAUUAAAAUGUCACCAUUGGGUUGUCACUUGAUGCACAUUAUGAGGUGCUCAUAAUUUUUGACCUACCAAAAAUAUAUAUACACAUGUGGUCCAUGACAAAUAAGAUGGUAUAUCAUUAGAUAAAAUGCCUAGUCCUUUUGAUAUUUUUAUUUCUUAUUUAUUCCCUCCCUCCAUUUUUUUUUUCCUCUUUCUUUCUCAUGCUCCACAAAUUAUUUAUCAUCAAUCUCUUGGCUUUUGAGAGAGCAUGUGGGUCAUAUGUACUUUUGAUUGUACCAUUUGAAAGGACUAGAUUAUCUAUAUUAUUAUAUGAGUUUAUAUUGACUCAAAUUUAAAGUUAUGUAAGAUAGAUUGUGUUGUUAGGAAGAAAAGGGCUGCAUAAAACCAUGAAUUUAGUGCUCCACAUUAAAACUUAUUCAACUUAACAAGUUAAAUCAUAAUUUUCACAUGUUAAUAUCCUAAUGAGUGAAUUGCAAUGCCAAUUCUUAAACUUUAGGUCCAGUUUGAAUUUUGGUACUCGAACUUGCGAACUCCACGUUCGAGAUUCUGAGUUUACUUUCAACGAUGUUUUAUUAUAGUCUUUGACCUUUCAACAGUACUAUUUUAUUUCAACCAUAUUCAUAAAGUACAAAUCAUUGCUUUCACUUGGUUUCUUCGUAUGUCCAUGCGCCAUGAAUCUAUUCAUCUUUCAUCUAUCUCAAACAUCUAAUAAUUCAAAGCGGUAAGACUAAAAUAUAAUAUAGAAUAAAUGGUUGACAAUGCGUAUAGCUUGAAGUUAAACUGUUUCAAGAGCUAUUCCAAUAGAAUUUGAUCUGCAUUUAGGUUAUAUUUGGUCUAACUUGUUGCGUUGUUCAUCAUUUAUUAUAGUAAACUAUUUCACCACAGAAACUUCGAAGAGGAGUUUCUGCACGAAGACUACUUCUUUGAUUGCACGUCACAAUGCUCAAUAAGUGCUAACGCGCGCAGUUGUAUAAGGCCCCAUUUUAGUGUUGCUACAGAACACGAUAUUUUUCGAUAAACUGUUAUUUGAAUAGUGCAUAUACAACAAUACAAUCAUGUAUCUCAACAGUUUUCUCUGUAUAGAAAAUUCCUCAGAAUCUUAUGUUAAUCUCUUUUUUUUCAACAUAAAUUUUAUUGUAUUUUAUUUUGGUUUAUUCAUUAGACAUUUUACUAUUCUUAGCCAAAAGAAAAAAUUUCUAGUAAAAGGACAAAGGGUUGUGCCAAAUCAAUAAAGCGCGUGAAGAUCAUGUCAUAGAUAGACUCCUAAGAUUUGACUAAACCAAGCCACAAAUCUUGAUUAGGCGCCAAAUGUACACAAACCCUAGCUAACUUGUUUGACUCACCCAAAUUUAUUAAGUUUACAAUUUGGAGGCCUAACAUGACUAAUUCAAUGAACCAAAGUACUUCUCCAAGAAGCAUUUACAUAUGUGAUUUAUUAGUCCACGUAAUUAUUGCCAAGACCAAGUCCAUCCUAUACUUCAUGUAAAUCGUUAAAUCUGAUCUACAACAUCAAAAAUACUCGACAAUGUAUAUAUAUUAAAAGUCUAAGUUUUAUAAACCCGACAACAAACUAUCUACUCAUCAAGCAAUCUCAAAAGCAAACGAUGUUGAAACAUAUGUUCGAUCGCCUACUACAUCAAAAGAAAAAAAUAUUUGCAAAUGAAUAAUUUCUAAUAUAUAACGGUUCAUACAUUAGAUUUAAGAGAACUAGUUUUGAUAUUGAUAGAUCAAUUCAGUAAAUUUUCGCCAUUGUUUACUGAAUUUAACUAGAUUCGAAAAAUCUUUGAGUUCACUAUUAAAAAUAGAUCUGUUAAUAUCUGUUCCCCCCCUUUUUUUUUUAAAAAAAAAAAGAACUUUAAAGGAACAUUUCAUGGUGGACCAGGUCCACACAAUAAAUUAAUUUCUUGAUAUGUGUGAUGUAUUUUGACCAGGCUCUUCCCACGGCCACAUGUUAUGUACCAAGAAAAGUCAAACUCUUUUGACCAUGGUCAUUUGACUAGAGCAACUUAGAUUUUUUUUUUCUUUUUCUUUUUUUUUGGUCCAAAUAUCUAAUUUGGAUUUUGAGAAACUUCGCAAUCCGACAUGACCAUAGAUUUUUAUUUUAUUUUGAUUUCAUAAUUUUUGUUGUUGGUUUUCAUUAAAUUUGAAAAAAAAAAAAGAAGAGAAAAAGAAAAGUCUCUUUUGAAAAUGAUAGUAGUGGGUAUUAUUGUACCAAUGAUGAGCUUUCAAUGAAUUAAUGUUCCUUAAUUUGUUCUUUAUGUUGUUGUGGUCAAACAAACAUGAACCAUUUAAAGUGGCACAUAAAUUUAAGGAUAAGUUCAAGUGGAUAAAGAAAAUGUGAAUUUACACUUCUACCAAAAAAGAAACUCCAACGAAACUUCGUUGAGGAGCUCCUCUAUCCAAUGUAUUUUGCAUUUAUAUCUUAUCAUUUCUUUUCAAUCUAAAGGGCUAUUUAAUUUGAUGUAAUUAGAAAUACAGUAUAGUUAGAGAUGGAUGUGAAAGUGUCGUAGUUAUAAAUAAUCUAUUUGGUUGCAUGUAGUGAGAAGUACAUUUGCAAAAUCUUAUUAGGUACGAGAUUACCUCCAAUAUCAAAACAAAAAAUAUUUUUUAUUUAAAAAAGUGAUUAGGAAGGUAAGUUUACCUCUUAUUUAAAACUGUUACUAGCUACAAAAAAACGUCUAUAGCGACACUUUUAAAUGUAGUACAUGUUCAAAAAGUGCUUGCUAGCUAAAAUUACCGACAACUUUUAAAAAAGUGUUCUAUAUGUGGGCUAGGUAUAUAUGCACAGUUAAAGAGUGUCGCUAUAACCUAAAAGAGUGCUGCUAUAUUUACCAACACUUAUUUAAGCAUUUAGCAACUGCUGAACACACUAUCUCGUUGGUUGCGGUGGCGAGGAGGACGACAGAAAGGCUCUUCGUCUAGAAUUUCAUGGAGAUUGAGUGAAGAGAGAAGAAAAGAUGGCAAUUGAUUUUUCUUUUUUUUUCUUUCUAUUGUAACGGGCCAAAUGACUGGGUUGGUGGGUGAGUAGAGUAACUUUUAUUUUUGGUUGGAUUGGGCUUAUAUUUAGGCAUUAGCAGAUAUUUUUUAAGUUUUUACGUAAAUGGGACUACUUUACUCAAAAGUGUCCAAACAUUGUCUUCUAUAACUAAUUCUGUUGUAGUUACUUUCUCCAACUGUUACAAUUGAAACUGCAAACCAAUUUGAGUAACAAUUUCAACCAACUACAGUUGUGGUCCUCCUUAUGUAAUUCCAACCGCAGCAGUUGAUUCAAACGCAUAAAAUCAAACCCGGAUUGACUUCUGAAAUAUUUCGCCCAAAUCUUAUGAUGGUAUUAGAUAAUAUAGAUAUAGAAGGAAAUAAUAAAUGAGAUUGCUAGAAUGUGGAACUCCUUAUUCAAGUUUUUUUUUCUCUCAUUAGAAACCCGGUCAUCAGUUAAAGAUGUAUAGUUCAAAAUCUAAAUAUCAAACCUGAACUCGAAACAUUAUUUCUCUUUACCAUAUUUUCAAAACAUAAAAUACUGAAGUCUAAAUUUUAAAAUACAUAUAAUAGGCAAGUAUUCAUAUAUAUUAUAUAUUGCAAAGUCUAUUCGAGUUGGGUUCGGUAAGGUAACGGUACAAAAAUUCCGGAAUAAUUUCUACAUAUAUUGUAUUAAUAUGGAUAAGAAAUUCAGAGAUAACACAUAGAUGCCUAAUAAAUUUUUCCUAAUUUUUUUUUCAUUUAAGCUAUCCAUUCAUAUAAAUAUUAAUGUGUUUUCCCCCUUUAGAUAUAUUUUUUUUGCCUUUUUUUUAAUACAACUCAAUGGAUACAAAAAUGUAGCUCUCAUAAUUUGCGUGACCAUUUCAUGCAUGUUUCUCCCUUGUAGAAGUAAAGAAGAUUACAACAACAUUGUGGAUAUUCCAAUGCUAUGUGCUUCAUGUGAUACAAGCAAAGUACAAAUGUGAUAGAUUGAUAUUAUAAGAUUCCUUUGUUUUGGAAAAUUAAGAAUAUGCUCUACAUAAUGAAUAGUAUAUAAAGUUUUUAAUGCAACUAUAUUAAUAGGUCAAAAAUGAAUUGAAGAUUAGUUUUUAAAAGAUGACAAUUAGUUUGUUUCAGAUUAAAUAUCCAACUCAAAUACUACAGAAAAAGUAAUUUGAUUCGACGAUCGUAUUUGGUAAAUCUAUUGAAAGACACAAAUACAAUGUCCAUUAAUAGAAGUUACAAAAAAUGUUGAAUAUACAUAUUAAAUAUAUUAUUUUUGGCAACUUUGGUUUUUAGAGAAUAAUAAAUUUUUAUAUGAUUUAAUUAAAAAAAUUGCAUGUGUCAUGUACUAAAGGUUCCAUUCAAUUGGAGUACCCAACAAAGAGAAAGAUUUUUUUAUUUUAUUUUAAGCUUGAGUGAAACGACAUGAAAAUAUCCACAACCCAAUUAUAAUGCAACAACUAAGUUUUUGUUGGUUACAUUAAUGAUGUGGUAUCUUAAUGGAUACCGGUGCAGUAAUCCAUGCGAUGCGAUAAAUAGAUAAUUAAAAAUAAUAAAAAAAAAAAUGACGAUAAAGAAAGAAAAAACGGUGAUAAAAUUUAUUUUGCCCAAUGAAAGAAGAUAACAACCGAAAGAAGAGGAAGAUUUUCGCCCAAUGUAGAGAUGUGACUGUAACGACCCAAUCCACUAGCAACAAUAACUCGUUGGGUCCACAACAUCGGCCCAAAAUGCUUAAGCUCAGUUAUUAUUACUAGUGUCUAAGUCUCUUAUAUACCCAAUCACAUCUCUAUUUCUAUUCGAUGUGGGAUUAAUGGGGUGUGACAGUAACCCAAUUCGGUUUAAGCAAAAAAAAGAGAAAACGUUGAGCCAGGUUGAGAUGAAGCUCACACUUGACAGUAAUCAGUUCAAUUUACGCAAAGAAAGAGCAAAAUUCAAUUCAAAGAUAGAAAUAUGUGGAGCAGUUAGGCCAGUUCGGCCUAAUGCGAUGGGUUGACUCAGUUCGGUCAAGCAAAUAAAGACGAAAAUCAAGUUCGGUUCAAGCAAAAAAAAAAAGAAAAUGUAGAAAACUUGAACUGAUUCGGGAGGAGUCUACAUUUCACAAUAAUCAAUUUGAUUCAAGCAAAAAAGAGAAAAAUUAGUUUGGUUCAAGUAAAGAAAAGAGGAAAACAUGUAGAAGAAUUGAGUUAGUUUGUGCUGGAGCCCAAACUCAAUAAUGAAAAAAAUGUUGUCAUAUAACAAAUUUAAAAAUAAUAAUGUAUAGAUAUAGAUAUAAAUACUUCAAUAUAUUCCUCACUUGUCCUUUUUUCUAUCUUAGGAAACAAGGUUGGUAUAAAUAAAUAUAUAUAUGUAGGUACUCAAAUGUACAAUAGAGCAUUAGGAUAAAUUCCACAUAUGAAUGGUAGGUACCUAGUUAAGUUAAUGUACAACCCUUAAUUUUGGCUAAUUAGGAAAUAAAUAAGGUUUUAACUACAUGAGGAGUAUUACUAUAGUUACCAUAAAGUGUACCCCCAAGGUGUACUUCAAUUCAAAUUUUAGGGCUUUUUAGUAUAAUUUGCAUGUCAAUCCAUGAGUGUUGUUAGGGUUUGAUCAGCCUAACUUUUUGAACAUAUUUUCUUAUAAAUAAAAGUCUGAAGCUGGUGGUAAGAAUAAGAUGAAAUGAAAAUUUUUAAACUACCAAAUGACAAAGGUACAAUUUGAUUUUUAUUUUUAUUUUUUAUUUUUUUUCCUCCGAGCACAGCAUCGGGUAUUAUAAAUGAAGAGGUCGAAGCAUUUUUUUUCAAACAAUUCUAUACACAUAUUUUCUUUUCAAAAAAAUUUGAUCUAAAUUUUUUAAAAGAUAAAGUUGCAUCGCUGCAAAAGAUGACUACAGCUAAAAGUAUAAAUAGAAGCAAAGUCAACAUACUACUAAUUGUUGGCUUAAAGAGACCGGCAUUCUUUUCUGUGACGGAAGGUCAGGUUAAGCUGAGUCAUGCUCCGAUGGCUUGAGACUGGGUUGGGCCGAGUCAGUCAUGUUCGAAGUGAGGUGAGGCUGGUUGGACCAAUUCACAAUUGAGACCCGUAGGUGUUAUUUCCAUACGUUUUAAGUAAAUUAGUUAUGUAUUUUUAAUAGCUCAAGCUUUUAGAAUUAAUAGUUUACACCAACGAUUCGACAUUAAUAUAGAAAAAUAUACUGGUUUUGGUAAACUUGGGUACCCAUAAGCACUCCUUUUAUUUGAGAAUUAAAGUAUUUAGAGAGAGAAAUGGGUGAGUGAAAGUGAGAAAUGUAUGGAGAGAGAGAGAGAGAGAGAGAGAGAGAGAGAGAGAGAGAGAGAGAGAUGGGUUAGAGUAAGAGUGUGGGUUUACUGAUUGACCUGUUGGACUCAGUCAACUGGUCCAGUGGGUUGAACCGGGCCGGGGGCGACCCGAAAGGUGUGAAAUGACCAAAAUAACCCCGACUGCCCCAGUAAAUAACAAUAUACUUAAAGCUGGAACAGUAGUUUCAAACUUAUACCACAUCAAAUGGUGUUUGGAUACAAGUGGGAGAAUAAGAGCUUAUUCCCACACUUGAUUUCCAACCAAACAGUCUUAGAAUAUGUAGAAUAUGACUGAAGUCUUGUUAUUUUAUACUCUCUUAGCUAAUUCAUAAAUUAUUGAAAAUCUGAAUAAAAUAGUUCAUAUGCAAAUUUUUUUCCCAAAAAAGGGAUAAAACACGAAUUUAUGAAUUNAUUACUGAAAAUCCGAGUAAAAAAAUUUAUAUUUUUUAUUUUUAAGUAUUAACUAUCUUAUAUUUUAUGUUUAAAGUAUGCAUUUUGUGUUUGUUCGACCUAAGAAAAAAAUCGUAUAUAUUUUAUGUUUAAUUAUGAACUGUCUUAAUCUCUUUCUUACUUGAUUGUUUAUAUAUCGUGGUGUAUAAUAUAGUUUUGCUCUAUUUUUUUACUUAUUUUAUUUUAUUUUUAGCCUUUUAUUUUAUUAUUCUUAAAAUUAUAACUUUUCAUGCUAGUAGUAUAAAUCUAGAAAAAAAAUUUAAUUUAAUAGCCGAAUUUUUAAUCCCGAAUUUUUAAUGGAUGAACGUAUAAUUUUCGUAUAAACUACAUAUAUGAAUAAUUGACAAAUUCAUUUUUUAAACCGUAUUUUUUAACAAAUUUAAAAAUUAGGAUACGAAUUUUAUUCAUAUUAUAUUUGUCCCAAAUUUUUGCCGAAUCCGAAUUAACUAACUAUGAUUUUAUAUGAUGUUUAUUUUUGUGUAAAUCAAAUUUAACGAAACCGAUUGUCGAUUUGAAAGCUGUAUCAUUAAAAAUAAUUUAGCAGCACGGAGACCUCCGUACAACUGAUAGUAUAGCAGUCGGACUUUAAAUAUCUAUUAGAUUCAAAAUUACAAUACAAACAUAAUAAAUGAUGAACUAAAAAUAAUAAUAAUAAUAAUAAAUUGUGGACUCCAAUGAGCAUGUAGCAUUGUCCACCAAUUUGUAGAUAACAAAAUAAUAAAUGAAAAAUGUUGGACUUUCCCAAAUAAUGACAUUAAUUAUUAUCACUAAAUAAAUAAAUAAAUAAAGAAUAUAAAAAGUCAGUAACCAACCACCCAAGUCAUCAUUUCCAAGAAUUUUUCUUAGUAGUUAUUAGUCACAUUAACUCAAAUAAAGUCAAAUAAUCCUAAAUUUAUGGGUAAUUUAAACUUAGGGUUCCUCAACAUUUUCGGCGCGAUAUUUUAUUUCAGCUCCCAAGUAGCGAUGUCAAUGGAUACGAAUAUCUAAAAUUUUACUUGAAUCCGAAUCCGUAUAGAGCAGAUUUACGCGAUGCCAAACAGAUAUAGUUUUAUAUAUGAAUAUUAAAAAUAAAAAUCCGACGGAUAUGGAUUUGACUGUACUAGAUCCGAACCCGACCUGAAUCCGAAUUUAUUUUACAUUAUAUAUGUAUAUAAAAAUUUGACGUUAUAUCUGAAUUUGUAUUUUAAAAAAUUUAGAUUUAAUGUAAUAUAUUUUGAAACAUUAAAAAAGAAAUAUUUUUUUUGGGUUUGGAUUUCGAAUUUUUGAUCGGGUUUCGAGUUUCGGGUUUCGAGUUUUUGAAAAUCUGCGCUGAAUCCGACCCGUUGACAUCCCUCUUUCCAACCUUUCAAUUACUAUAAUUAUAUUUAUUAUUAUCUUUAUUAUUUGACGCAUUUAAGUUUUUCUAUUCAAAAUUUCAUUUAAAUUUGAUGAAUAGUUAUUAAUAUACAAUUACAUAAUAUUUUGCUGCAUCAUAUAAUCUAUUAUAAUUUUUUAAAAUUUUAAGUAAGGACACAAGAAACACAUACUAAUAUUCACUGAGUUUGAUUUAUUUUUCCCCAAAUUUAAAUAUGAAAAAUUAAAACCCCACAUCUAAAUCCCCCAUAUUAUUGCAUUCUUAUUGGUUGGUCCACAUGCAAUGUGGUACACCAUGUUCACCAAAACAUAUCUCUAUAAGUAGAUAAAUUUAUUCAUGCUUACAUAGGAAGGUCUUUUUUUUUUUUUAUAAACUUCAAAAUACUACUCCUGUAAUUUCGCACUUUCUUACUUUAGUAUUUUAUGGUUUAAAGUGUGUCAAGUUAGUGUCCUGUGAUUUUAUUUUUAUUUUUUUGUCAGCUUUUUCUUUAAUAUUUUAUUGAAUUAUAUAUAAAAAAUUUCAGACACUCUACUUAGGUUUAUCAAAUAUUCAUUUUACUACUCUUUAGUUUUAACUUUGUCACUGAUUUAACGAAAAAAAAAUUAGUGAAAUAGAUAAUAAAAAGAUAAAAAUAAAAGCAUAGGACACUAAGUUAAUACACUUUAAAUCACAGUGUACUAAAGUAAGAAAAUGUGAAACUACAGAAGUGAUAUUUGAAGUUUUUCCUAAAUUUAUUUAUGCUUACAUAGAAAGGGUUUUUUUUUUUUUU
rnacentral:lncRNA from 1 species